AUUGAACGCUGGCGGCAGGCCUAACACAUGCAAGUCGAGCGAGCGGCGGACGGGUGAGUAAUGUCUGGGAAACUGCCUGAUGGAGGGGGAUAACUACUGGAAACGGUAGCUAAUACCGCAUACAGUCAGAUGUGCCCAGAUGGGAUUAGCUAGUAGGUGGGGUAAUGGCUUACCUAUGCGACGAUCCCUAGCUGGUCUGAGAGGAUGAUCAGCCACACUAGAGCUGCGACACGGUCCAGACUCCGACGGGAGGCAGCAGUGGGGAAUAUUGCACGAUGGGCGCAAGCCUGAUGCAGCCAUGCCGGGUGUGGGAAGAAGUCCUUCGGGUUGUAAAGCACUUUCAGCGGGGAGGCGUUACCCGAAGAAGAAGCACCGGCUAACUCCGUGACAGCAGCCGCGGUAAUAC
rnacentral:rRNA from 1 species